GAUGAACGCUGGCGGCGUGCCUAAUACAUGCAAGUCGAGCGAAUGGAUUAAGAGCUUGCUCUUAUGAAGUUAGCGGCGGACGGGUGAGUAACACGUGAGUAACCCGCCCAUAAGACUGGGAUAACUCCGGGAAACCGGGGCUAAUACCGGAUAACAUUUUGAACCGCAUGGUUCGAAAUUGAAAGGCGGCUUCGGCUGUCACUUAUGGAUGGCCCCGCGUCGCAUUAGCUAGUUGGUGAGGUAACGGCGCACCAAGGCAACGAUGCGUAGCCGACCUGAGAGGGUGAUCGGCCACACUGGGAGUGAGACACGGCCCAGACUCCUACGGGAGGCAGCAGUAGGGAAUCUUCCGCAAUGGACGAAAGUCUGACGGAGCAACGCCGCGUGAGUGAUGAAGGCUUUCGGGUCGUAAAACUCUGUUGUUAGGGAAGAACAAGUGCUAGUUGAAUAAGCUGGCACCUUGACGGUACCUAACCAGAAAGCCACGGCUAACUACGUGCCAGCCGCCGCGGUAA
rnacentral:rRNA from 1 species